AAUAGAUGACGCCGUUGACUUUGUCUCACAUGUUUGACCAUUCAUCUUAUUCAAAAAAUUUACGUAAUUAUAAUAUAUAUAGUUAUGAGUAGAUGUAUCACUCAUAAUACUUUAAGUGUGAUAUAUAUCGUAUACAUUUGUAUAAAAUUUUUGAAUAAGACCGAAUGGUCAAACAUGUGAGAAAAAGUCAACGGCGUCAUCUAUU
rnacentral:pre_miRNA from 1 species